rnacentral:lncRNA from 1 species
GUACAGCGCCGGUCAACAUCGCGGUCAUCAAGUACUGGCCUCGACAGACGGGGAAACUGAGGCUCAGGGAGGGGCGCGGCGGUGGUCGGGCGGGGCCGCGCGCUCCUUCGCGUGACAAGCUCGGCGCCACCCGUUCCCCCGCGACGGCUGCCGCCCCUGCAGGGUCGCCCGGCGCCUGCCCAUUAGCGAUUACCGAACUAUCGAAAUCAUCAAUCAUCGAUUCCCAUGAAUCAAGCCGCCACCACGACUGGCUAAUUUUUUUGUGUUUCCCUUACCAAUAAAGCU